rnacentral:rRNA from 1 species
GCUGAUCCGCGAUUACUAGCGAUUCCGACUUCACGCAGUCGAGUUGCAGACUGCGAUCCGGACUACGAACGGCUUUCUGGGAUCGGCUCCCCCUCGCGGGUUGGCAACCCUCUGUACCGUCCAUUGUAUGACGUGUGAAGCCCUACCCAUAAGGGCCACGAGGACUUGACGUCAUCCCCACCUUCCUCCGGUUUGUCACCGGCAGUCUCCCUAGAGUGCCCUUGCGUAGCAACUAGGGACAAGGGUUGCGCUCGUUGCGGGACUUAACCCAACAUCUCACGACACGAGCUGACGACAGCCAUGCAGCACCUGUGUUCCGGUUCCCUUUCGGGCACAGCCACCUUUCAGCAGCCUUCCAGACAUGUCAAGGGUAGGUAAGGUUGUUCGCGUUGCAUCGAAUUAAUCCACAUCAUCCACCGCUUGUGCGGGUCCCCGUCAAUUCCUUUGAGUUUUAACCUUGCGGCCGUACUCCCCAGGCGGCUCACUUCACGCGUUAGCUACG